rnacentral:miRNA from 1 species
GGGGCUUUGGGGAGGGAGGGGA